rnacentral:miRNA from 1 species
GCAUGACUGAGUGUAGCGCAGA